rnacentral:rRNA from 1 species
AACGAACGCUGGCGGCAUGCCUAACACAUGCAAGUCGAACGAUGCCUUCGGGCAUAGUGUCGCACGGGUGCGUAACGCGUGGGAAUCUGCCUUUCGGUUCGGAAUAACUCAGGGAAACUUGAGCUAAUACCGGAUAACGUCGCAAGACCAAAGAUUUAUCACCGAAAGAUGAGCCCGCGUAGGAUUAGCUAGUUGGUGAGGUAAAGGCUCACCAAGGCGACGAUCCUUAGCUGGUCUGAGAGGAUGAUCAGCCACACUGGGACUGAGACACGGCCCAGACUCCUACGGGAGGCAGCAGUGGGGAAUAUUGGAAAAUGGGCGAAAGCAUGAACCAGCAAUGCCGCGUGAGUGAUGAAGGCAUUAGGGUUGUAAAGCUCUUUUACCCGGGAAGAUAAUGACGGUACCGGGAGAAUAAGCCCCGGCUAACUCCGUG